GUCCUUGCCGUAAACGAUGUAUACUUGAUGUAAUUGGGCUCAACCCUGAUUGUGUCGAAGCUAACGCGAUAAGUAUACCGCCUGGGGAGUACGCUCGCAAGGGUGAAACUCAAAAGAAUUGACGGGGGCCCGCACAAGCAGUGGAGCAUGUGGUUUAAUUCGAUGCAACGCGAAGAACCUUACCCAGGCUCGAAAUGUAAUAGACGCUAUCAGAGAUGAUAGUUUCCGCAAGGACUGUUAUAUAGGUGCUGCAUGGCUGUCGU
rnacentral:rRNA from 1 species